rnacentral:rRNA from 1 species
CAGCAGCCGCGGGAAAACGAAGGGUGCAAGCGUUACUCGGAAUUACUGGGCGUAAAGCGUGCGUAGGUGGUGGUUUAAGUCCGUUGUGAAAGCCCUGGGCUCAACCUGGGAAUUGCAGUGGAUACUGGAUCACUAGAGUGUGGUAGAGGAUAGUGGAAUUUCCGGUGUAGCAGUGAAAUGCGUAGAGAUCGGAAGGAACAUCUGUGGCGAAGGCGACUAUCUGGGCCAACACUGACACUGAGGCACGAAAGCGUGGGGAGUAAACAGGAUUAGAGACCCCUGUAGUCCCUGUCUCUUAUAC